rnacentral:rRNA from 1 species
CCUACGGGAGGCAGCAGUGAGGAAUAUUGGUCAAUGGCCGGAAGGCUGAACCAGCCAUGCCGCGUGGAGGUCAGUGCCCUUUGGGCGUUAAACUUCUUUUGUUCGGGAGCAAUAAUGGUCACGUGUGGCCAGACGAGAGUACCGUACGAAUAACCAUCGGCUAACUCCGUGCCAGCAGCCGCGGUAAUACGGGGGAUGCAGGCGUUAUCCGGAUUUAUUGGGGUUAAAGGGGGCGUAAGCGGUGAGGUAAGUCAGCGGGGAAAUGCCCCGGCUUAACGGGGUGAAGUGCAUUUGAUACUGCCAUGCUGGAGUGCGGAUGCGGUGGGAGGAAUGUGUGGUGUAGCGGUGAAAUGCAUAGAGAUCA